rnacentral:rRNA from 1 species
AUGGCGGCUGAUGACUCGGACCACGGCGGCGCCAUCCACGUCCUCCUGCUACCGUACCCGAGCCAGGGCCACAUCAACCCGUUCCUCCAGUUCGGCAAGCGCCUCGCCUCCCACGCCGGCGUCCGCUGCACGCUCGCCGUCACGCGCUACCUGCUCGGCCAGGGCCGGGACCCGUGCCCCGGCGCCGUCCACCUUGCCGAGAUCUCCGACGGCUUCGACAGCGGCGGCUUCGCCGAGGCCGCCGGCGACGUCGCCGCGUACCUCGCCCGGCUGGAGUCCGUCGGGUCACGCACUGUCGACGAGCUGCUGCGGUCCGAGGCGGAGAAGGGCCGGCCCGUGCGCGCCGUGGUCUACGACGCGUUCCUGCAGCCGUGGGCGCCAAGCGUGGCCCGGCGGCAUGGCGCCGCGUGCGCGUCCCUCUUCACGCAGGCGCCCGCGGUGAACGUAGCCUACGCGCACGCCGGGGCUGGGCGGCUGACCGCGCCGGUCGUCGCCGGCAACGUGCCGCCGGAGCUGCCCGGGCUGCCGGCUCGGCUCGGACCAGACGACGUGCCCUCGUUCCUGGCCAAGCCCGACGACUGCCCCGCGUACCUCGACCUGCUGGUGAGGCAGUUCGUGGGCCUCGAUGCCGCCGAUUACGUGCUCAUCAACUCCUUCCACGAGCUGCAGCCACUGGAAUCGGAGUACAUGGCGUCGACGUGGGGGGCCAAGACGGUAGGCCCGACGGUGCCCUCGGCGUACCUGGACAACCGCCUGCCGGACGACGCCUCCUACGGCUUCCACCUGCACACGCCGACGACGGCCGCGACCAAGGCGUGGUUGGACGCCCGGCCGGCGCGCUCCGUCGCGUACGUCUCCUUCGGCAGCAUCGCCGCGCUGGGGCCGGAGCAGAUGGAGGAGGUGGCGGAAGGCCUUUUCAACAGCGGCGCGUCCUUCCUGUGGGUUGUCAGGGCCUUGGAGACGUCCAAGAUCCCCGACGGCUUCGCCGACAAGGCGGGCGGGAGCGGCUUGAUCGUGCCAUGGUCGGCGCAGCUGGAGGUGCUGGCGCACGGCGCCGUUGGGUGCUUCGUGACGCACUGCGGGUGGAACUCGACAACGGAGGCGCUGAGCGCCGGGGUGCCGAUGGUGGCGGUGCCGCACUGGUCGGACCAGCCGACGAACGCCAAGUACAUCGAGGACGUGUGGCGCGUCGGCGUGCGGGCGCGGCCGGACGCGGUUGGGGUGGUGAGGCGGGAGGAGGUGGAGCAUUGCGUGAGGGAGGUGAUGGGGAGCGAGGAGUACCGGACGAGGGCGACGGAGUGGAGUGUGAAGACGAAGGCGGCCAUGAGCGAAGGCGGGAGCUCCGACCGCAACAUCUUGGAGUUUCUCCGUGGACUCGGAUCGAGGAAAUCCGAGCGGUGGAGAGCGGCGGAAGAUCUGUAG